UUUAAAGAAGAAUUCCAGGGGUCCUUGGUGGCUCAGUCAUUAAGCUUCGGCUCAGGGCGUGAUCCCGGAGUCCUGGGAUCGAGCCCCACAUCAGGCUCCUCUGCUGGAAGCCUGCUUCUUCCUCUCCCACUCCCCCUGCUUGUGUUCCCUCUCUUGCUGGCUGUCUCUCUCUCUGUCAAAUAAAUAAAUAAAAUCUUAAAAAAAAAAAAGAAGAAUUCCAGUUAAUAAAUGUAGAAGGAAUACGUGAAAUAGAAAAUCACCAUUAGACCAUCACAUUAAUAAUUGCUACAGGCAAGAUCCAUUGAUGAAUGCUAAAAUCAGUAGGUAAAACUUUAAGGAAGAGCAGGAUAUUUGCGGGCCUCAAAAUAUCUGUUCCAAAAUAUACUAGUUACGGUGAGGGUUUUAAAAUGCAAUCCCAAAUUCUCCGGUACCCCUUGCUCUAAGAGGUAGAGCUUCCUCAAGUCCUCUUACUUUGAACUUGGUAUGGACUUAGCAACUUGUUCUAACACAUAGAGUACGGCGAGGGGAAAAGAGCAACUUUACAGUAGAGAAACCAAGCAAACACCACCUUAACCAAGUAAUCGAGGUUAACAUCAUCUGCAAUAAUUCACGUUGAUAUCAGAUGCCCCGUGAUAGGAUACAUUGAGAGGCACACAUCGCCUUUGUGAUAUUCUUUCCCAAACCCCAUAACCUCAGUCUAACCUAAACUGGGCAACAUUCUACAGAAGAUCUAACCACAAAUCUUGAAAGGGGUUGAGAUUUCAGUUUUCGUUCGGAGGAAAAACACUCGCAUAUUUACAUAUUGAUGCCAGGAAGGGAGUGGAGCUGAAGCCCUAGUAGAGGGAGGGGCUGUGCAUUCUAAAGCUUUGUGAUUCUGUAACCUUUGGAGACGGAGCCCAUGUAGACCCAGCACCCAUCUGAUGGGUCACAGGCCUUUCCCUCUCCAAGGACAAUAAUUCUGUUUUUCCCUUUCCUACACCCAGGCAGUUGCUGUUUGUGUCCUGGUCCAGGCUGGAGAAUCUGAAGAAGAGAGACCUCCUUUCUUCCCAGGGGGACCGGGAUCAGUUUCAAGUCCUGCCCAGCUGUGCCAUUGAGAGACAGCCAGCGAGAGAGGGAACACAGCAGGGGAGUGAGAGAGGAAGAAGCAGGCUCCCAGCGGAGGAGCCUGAUGUGGGACUCGAUCCCAGAACGGAGCCCGAUGUGGGACUGGAUCCCGGAACGCCAGGAUCAUGCCCUGAGCCGAAGGCAGACGCUUAACGACUACGCUACCCAGGCGCCCUACACAGAGGGUUUAUUUUUUAAAGAUUUGUUUUAUUUAUUUUUGCAAGAGCGAUAGAGAGAGAGAGAACUGACAG
rnacentral:lncRNA from 1 species